rnacentral:rRNA from 1 species
UACAGAGGGUGCAAGCGUUAAUCGGAAUUACUGGGCGUAAAGCGUGCGUAGACGGUCAUGUAAGUCGGGUGUGAAAGCCCCGGGCUCAACCUGGGAAUUGCAUUCGAGACUGCAUGGCCAGGAUGCGGAAGAGGGAAGCGGAAUUUCCGGUGUAGCGGUGAAAUGCGUAGAUAUCGGAAGGAACACCAGUGGCGAAAGCGGCUUCCUGGUCCAGCAUCGACGUUCAGGCACGAAAGCGUGGGGAGCAAACAGG